GCAAGUCGAACGCGAAAGUUUUCUUCGGAAGAUGAGUAGAGUGGCGCACGGGUGAGUAACACGUGGAUAAUCUGCCCAUUGGUCUGGGAUAACUUCUCGAAAGGGGAGCUAAUACCGGAUAAGCCCACAGAGACUUCGGUCACGGUGGGAAAAGAUGACCUCUUCUAUGUUAUCGCCAUUGGAUGAGUCCGCGGCCCAUUAGCUAGUUGGUAGGGUAAUGGCCUACCAAGGCUACGAUGGGUAGCUGGUCUGAGAGGAUGAUC
rnacentral:rRNA from 1 species